rnacentral:rRNA from 1 species
CCUACGGGAGGCAGCAGUGAGGAAUAUUCGUCAAUGGACGAGAGUCUGAACCAGCCAAGUAGCGUGAAGGAUGACUGCCCUAUGGGUUGUAAACUUCUUUUAUAUGGUAGUAAAAUGUUCCACGUAUGGGAUUUUGUAUGUACCGUAUGAAUAAGGAUCGGCUAACUCCGUGCCAGCAGCCGCGGUAAUACGGAGGAUCAGAGCGUUAUCCGGAUUUAUUGGGUUUAAAGGGAGCGUAGGGGGAUUGUUAAGUCAGUUGUGAAAGUUUGCGGCUCAACCGGAAAAUUGCAGUUGAAACUGGAAGUCUUGAGUACAGUAGAGGUGGGUGGAAUUCGUGGUGUAGCGGUGAAAUGCUUAGAUA